CGCGCCCACUUUCACAAUCAGCAGUUACGGUUUCGGCGGCGGCGGUUUUUUAAUUUUUUUUUCACGCGGCAGAAAAAAAUCACGUUUACGUUUCAGGCCGCCGCACGCGCUGCUUUUGCUUUCUUUGCUGCCCGCGCUUUUUUUCGGCAGCAGGGUGCCCGGGCUUUUACGCGGUUUCGGCAGAUAUUAGCCAUGCGGCGCGCCCGCUUUGCCCAGCGGCGCGCUCGGAAAUUUUUACAGCGGAAAGCCUUUGCCGCCCUGCGGGGUUUAAAAGCCACGCGGUUUCAGACGUUUCAGCGGCGGAAAGGUGGUGGUCAGGCCUUAUUUCAGCACUUUCUGCAGCAGAUCGCCAAUCAGUUCAUCCCACAGCGCGGUAAUACGCAGAUGGCUGCAUUAAUCGCUUUACUGACGCAGCGCAUGUUCCGGGGUUUCUUCCGCCAGAUGGCUCGCGCCCGGUUCCACCUGGCUGCCGCAUUUGCUACGGCACACCAGGGUUUCAUACAGCGGAUAAAAUUCCAGAUGCAGCGGGCUAAUACGCAGAUAACGGCUGCUAUAACGAUGACGCAGACGGCCGCCCGGGCACAGGCUCACGCUCAGGCAGCUCAGGGUCGCCAGCAGGCAGCUUUAAAUGCCCUGAUAAUCCACGCCAUACACAAUAUCCACACGCAGUUUGGUAUCCUGCACGCUCGGUUCUUACGCCAGCGCGUUCAGCAGGCCGCCCGGGCUAUACGGACGCAGGGUCAGCACUUAAAUAAACUGACGCGGGCCCGCGCACGCGGUGCUGCAGGUGGUUUAGUUGCUCGCCACACGCAGCACUUUGCCCACACGGCUCAUCCACAGAAUCUGUUACAGAUGAAUCAGCGCUUUCGGAAACUGGCUCACCGGCGCCGCAUGGCUAUCAUCCGCACGGGUGGUAAAAUGCUGGGUCAGAUCGCCCAGGCUACGCAGGCCUUAGCCUUAUUUGCCCGCCGGCAGCGCCGGAAAUUUCAGGCUCACCGCCGGGCUCAGGCCGCUGCUCGGCGGGCUGCUGGUCAGAUCAUCAUGGCCUUUACGGGUCGGGCUGCACACAUGUUACAGCGGUUAAUACAGCGGGUUACGCAGACGGCUGGUGCUGCUAAUGCCAUACAGCUGAUCAUAAUCCGGGUUGCUAUCCGCCACACGGCUCCAGCUGGUCGGAAUCGCCAGCAGACGCGGAUCGCUAUGCCACGGGCUAUAGGUGCCCGGGCCCUGCACGCAACGGCCAUCGCACCACGGCAGCGGGCUGCACCAAAAAUAAAUCGCUUAGCCUUCCGGCGGACGUUUGCCACGAUGGGUUUAGCUACGCGGAAAAUGCACGCACGCCGGUUACGGGCC
rnacentral:rRNA from 1 species